AUUAUUUUAGAUUGUGAAUGUUCUCCACCUUGUCUUUUAUUGACAAUUGCCCAUAUUUCAUUGUUCUAAUUGCAGAUUGCUCGGCAAUUGAUGGGGAAGAUUUUAAUUGAUCUACGAAAUACUCUUGAAGAGGCAAUUUAUGUUGCAGGUCUUAAGAGCGAGCAAGAACAACAGUCAAAACAGAGUGAUGCAGAAAAGGAUGAAGCAGAUGGUCCUUUAAAACAUCACAUAUGUUAUGAAGAGUUCCGGAGAUGUAGCACUAAUGGCGAGAAGGUGCUGGAUCAGGAUGAUGAGGAAGAUAAAGAAACCAAAUAUCGUUUGGAUCCAAAGUAUGCAAAUGUCAGGACUCCAGACCGCCAUGUCCGCACUCGGCUUUACUUCACAUCAGAAUCUCAUAUCCAUUCCUUGAUGAAUGUUCUCCGAUACUGCAACCUGGACGACUCCCUGCUGGGGGAGGACAGCCUUGUCCGCCACAGUGGUCUGGGGCGAUUGUACAAGACAAAGGAGCUGGACUACAUGAGUUACAUUGUCUUGAGAAUGUUUGAGAACACAGAGGUUUGUGGGUCUUAUUCAUCUGUUUCCUUGACAGUAUGUCUCCUAAAGCAAACUAGCAAAGCAUUGUUGGACAUAAUAUAUAUGUAUAUAGAGUGUUCUUGGUAGCAAACUAUACGGUGAGUUGGGAUUGCAUUGUGAAUAUUGCCAAAUUCUGCAGGUGGCUUUGGAGGAUCCGAAAAGGUUCCGGACAGAGAUGAUCUUUAGCCGUGGUGCUGAUUUAUCUCCACUAGAGUGAUGGAACCAAGGAGCACACGCGUGAUUUGAGAAAAUGAACGACAGUGAGGCUGCUUCGUUACACCAGGAGCACACGCUUCCGAUAAUGGGUCCAGAAAGGCUGCAAGAAGUAGGAUCAUAUCUGAUGCUGGAGAAGAUGGAGAAGAUGAUACGCCCAUUCGUGAUGCCAGUAGAGGAUUUCCCUCCACCGUCAACCCCUCAGGGAUUCUCGGGUUACUUCUCCAAGAGCGCUGCUGUUCUUGAGCGACUGGUAAAUCUAUGGCCUUUCAAUAAGCACGGCUAUGCCAAUGGAGGUAAGAAGUAGAGACCCGCGUAGAGCCCAAUAGCUUUUUCUCUUCUGUUCAAAUUCGUUUGAGAUGUUUUUGAUGUAAGUAGGAAUGAUACUACAUCCACAGAGUUUAAGUCCUUGUAUCCGUCACCCACUUCUCUUGGCCCUUCUCAACCUAACUCUCACUUUCACCAUUAAAAACCCACCACCAUUUCAAAUGGUUCUCCCAAAGCUUUUAUGGAUUCCAAGUGACUCAUUCCAAAGCCGUCGUGUAGCAGUCCAGUCUCACCAGAAUGUGAUACCCAAACUUUUCUAUAAAAAUCACAAUUUCAGAAUCUUUAAAUAUACAUGCGUGCGUACAAGAAUGGAUCAAUCUGAGCUGAGGGGACAGUCACCUCCUAAAAUUUUAACAUCUUGAAUAAAUUUUUUGGUGUGUACAUCUUAAACAAAUUCCAUAGGUUCGCUUCCUAACUCAGAAAACUGGUAACCGAGGAUUUGAACUUUAAUGUAGCAAUGGAAUUCAGAAAGAGGAAAAAAGUAACUUUUUCGUUUGUUUAGGCUAUAACUCAAAAAAGUAAAAAAUUAGGGUACUGUGCUUUGAAGUAUAUGAUAAGCUCAGUGUCAGAGAAGUAAUUUUCCAAUUUUU